AACGAACGCUGGCGGCAUGCCUAACACAUGCAAGUCGAACGAGACCUUAGGGACAGGUUGCGCAUGGGUGUGUCAAGCGUGGGAACCUGCCGUUAGGCAUGGAAUUCUUCCUUGACAGGGGUGCUAAUACCGGGUAAUGUAUUCGGAUACAAGAUAGAUCGCGUUUGGAUGGGCACGCGUUGGUUUAGCUUGUUGGUAGGGUAUAAGCCUAUCAAGGCGACGAUACAUAGCUGGUCUGAGAGGAAGGGCAGCCACACUGGGGCUGAGACACGGCCCGGACUACUGCGCGAGGCAGCAGUGGGGAAUAUUGGACUAUGGGGUAGAGCCUGAACCAGCUAUGCCGCGAGAGUGAUUAAGGCCUGAGAGAUGUAAAGCUCGUUUACCCGGCAUGAUAAUGACGGUACCGGAAGAAUAAGCACCGGCUAACUCCGUG
rnacentral:rRNA from 1 species